rnacentral:rRNA from 1 species
GAUGAACGCUAGCGGCAGGCCUAACACAUGCAAGUCGAGGGGCAGCACGUCUUCGGAUGGUGGCGACCGGCGCACGGGUGCGUAACGCGUAUGCAACCUACCUCUUACAGUGGGAUAGCCCAGAGAAAUAUGGAUUAAUACCGCAUAGUAUACAGAUUCAGCAUUGGGACUGUAUUAAACAUUUAUGGGUAAGAGAUGGGCAUGCGUUCUAUUAGUUAGUUGGAGUGGUAACGGCACCCCAAGACAGCGAUAGAUAGGGCCCGUGAGAGGGGGAGUCCCCACCACUGGUACUGAGACACGGACCAGACUCCUACGGGAGGCAGCAGUGAGGAAUAUUGGACGAAUGGGCGGAGAGCCUGAUCCAGCCAUG